GACGGGGCCCGCACAAGCGGAGGAGCAUGUGGUUUAAUUCGAUGAUACGCGAGGAACCUUACCUGGGCUUAAAUGCUUAAUGACGUACUGGGAAACUGGUAUUUCUUCGGACAUUUUGCAAGGUGCUGCAUGGUUGUCGUCAGCUCGUGCCGUGAGGUGUCGGGUUAAGUCCCAUAACGAGCGCAACCCCUAUUGUUAGUUGCCAUCAGGUCAUGCUGGGGACUCUAACGAAACUGCCCGCGUAAGCGUGGAGGAAGGUGGGGAUGACGUCAAAUCAGCACGGCCCUUACGUCCAGGGCUACACACGUGCUACAAUGGCCGGUACAGAGGGCAGCCACUUGGUGACAAGGAGCAAAUCUCAAAAGCCGGUCUCAGUUCGGAUCGGAGUCUGCAACUCGACUCCGUGAAGUUGGAUUCGCUAGUAAUCGUAGAUCAGCAAUGCUACGGUGAAUACGUUCCCGGGCCUU
rnacentral:rRNA from 1 species